GAUGAACGCUGGCGGCGUGCCUAAUACAUGCAAGUCGAGCGAACAGACGAGGAGCUUGCUCCUCUGACGUUAGCGGCGGACGGGUGAGUAACACGUGGAUAACCUACCUAUAAGACUGGGAUAACUUCGGGAAACCAGAGCUAAUACCGGAUAAUAUAUUGAACCGCAUGGUUCAAUAGUGAAAGACGGUUUUGCUGUCACUUAUAGAUGGAUCCGCGCCGCAUUAGCUAGUUGGUAAGGUAACGGCUUACCAAGGCAACGAUGCGUAGCCGACCUGAGAGGGUGAUCGGCCACACUGGAACUGAGACACGGUCCAGACUCCUACGGGAGGCAGCAGUAGGGAAUCUUCCGCAAAGGGCGAAAGCCUGACGGAGCAACGCCGCGUGAGUGAUGAAGGUCUUCGGAUCGUAAAACUCUGUUAUUAGGGAGGAACAAAUGUGUAAGUAACUAUGCACGUCUUGACGGUACCUAAUCAGAAAGCCACGGCUAACUACGUG
rnacentral:rRNA from 1 species